GCAGAGUUAGUCUAGUGGUUAUGAUAUUCGCCUUACAUAAACAUUUAUGUGGCGCGAAGGGUCGCGAGUUCGAUCCUCGCACUCUGUA